CAUAAUUUUCAAAUGUUUCCACAAAAUAGGAACCAAGGGAACACUACCUAAUUUGUUCUAUGACAUCACAAUUUCCCUUAUACCUAAACCACACAAUGAUCUGAUCCUGAUGCACAGCUCCCUGAAUGCAAUCCCAUGGGAGAGAGAGCUGACCUCCCAGAAGUGAGGACAAUCAUGGGACCUCAGGGGAGACCUCCACUUCUGCCCACUUCUCCUCAUAUUCUUUUCCCAAGAGUAAACUGGAUAGUGACCUUUGGAUACAAGAAUAUAGGAGCAGUCAGUGACAGGAACCUGCUGGAUUCUGUCUGCAAUCGAAACUGAACUGAACUCGUCCCACAGCUCCCUGCACCCAAAACCUGUUGGGGGAAAGAGUAAGACCCUCAGAAGUGCAGACAAUCCUGAGAAGACAACUACUUUCUACCCACAUUCCUGAUCCAAGAAGAAAUUGCCUAGUGACAUCUGUGCCCUCUGGGCACAGUGACCUAGGAGCAGUCAGGGGCAGGACCCUUCAGGUUUCUGCCUGUGCCAAGAGCUGAAAGUCAGUCACCAGAAGUGCCUACACACCUGAGAGCAGAGGUAAUACCAACUCUUUUGAACCAAGCAACCUCCCUGGAGGCUUCAGGUCACACAAAGCCAGGAGCAGCUCUCUCUUCCCAGAUCCAGCUGAGAGAAAACAGUCUACAGGAGGGCUGAAACACAGGCUUACAGGAAGGUCAAGCCACUGUCAGAGACAGCAAGACCAGCUAACACCAGAGAGACAACCUGAUGGUGAGAGGCAAGCAUGGGGACAUAUGAAACAAAAACCAGGAACACUUGGCAUCAUCAGAGCCCAGUUCUACCACCAAAGCAAAUACUGGAUAUCCAAACACAACGGAAAAACAAGAUCUAGAUUUAGAAUCCCAUUUUAUGAUGAUGAUGAAGGACUUUAAGAAGGACAUAAAUAACUCCCUUAAAGAAAUACAGGACAACACAAGUAAACAAGUAGAAGCCCUUAAAGAGUAAACAAAAUUCCCUUCAAGAAUUACAGGAAAAUACAACCAAACAGGUCAAAGAAUUGAACAAAAACAUCCAAGAUUUAAAAUGGAAAUAGAAACAAUAAAGAAAGCACAAAGGGAGACAAGCCUGGAGAUAGAAAACCUAGGGAAGAAAUCAGGAGUCAUAGAUGCAAGCAUUAACAACAGAAUACAAGAAAGGAAGACAGACUCUCAGGAGCAGAAGACACCAUAAAAAACAUCAAAACAACCCCCAGAGAUAAUGUAAAAAGUAAAAAGCUCUUAUCUAAAACAUCCAGGAAAUCCAGGACACAAUAAGAAGAUCAAACUUAAGGCUAAUAUGUGUUGAACAGAGUGAAGACUCCCAACUUUAAGGGCCAGUAAAUAUCUUCAACAAAAUUGUAGAACAAAAUUUCCCUAACCUAUAGAAAAAGAUGCCUACAAACAUACAAGAAGGCUACAGAACUCUAAAUAGAUUGUACCAGAAAAGAAAUUUGUCCUGUCACAUAAUAAAGAAAACAUCAAUUGCACAAAGCAAAGAAAGAAUAUUAAAAGCAGUAAGCGGAAAAGAUCAAGUAACAUAUAAAGGCAGACCUCUAAGAAUUACACCAGACUUCUCACCAGAGACUAUGAAAGGCAGAAGAUCCUGGUCAGACGGCAUACAGAGCCAAAGAGAACAGAAAUGCCAGUCCAGGUUACUAUGUCCAGCAAAACUUUCAAUUAACAUAGAUGGAGAAACCAAGAUAUGCCAUGAUAAAACCAAAUUUACACAAUAUCUUUCUAUAAAUCAGGCCCUACAGAGGAUAAUAGAUGGAAAACUCAGACACAAGGAGGGAAGCUACACUCUAGAAAAAGCAAGAAAGUAAUCUCUUUGCAACAAAACCAAAAGAAGACAGACACACAAACAUAAUUCCACCUCUAACAACAAAAGUAACAGGAAAAAUAGUCACUAUUCCUUAAUAUCUCUUAAUAUCAAUGGAUUCAAUUCCCCUAUAAAAAGACAUAGACUGGAUACAUAAAGAGGACCGAGCAUUUUGCUGCAUACAAGAAACUCACAUGGCAAGAGAAGAUACAAGGCAAGUAAAACCUAUAAUGAAAUAAACAGCGUUUUCAAUUAUUUAACUCAUUUUAAUGUUAUUAAUAAAUUUACUACUUAUUGUAUUACGUGAGGCAACUCUGUCACCAACAGGUUCCUCAUUAAUUAAAUGGAAAAUUAAAGCCUUUAGAAGCAAGUGGAAAAUAACAUUGGAUUACACAAUUAAGAGACGUGAAAUGUAGUGAUUUUAUUAAUUUCCUUCUUUUGGUAGUAGUGAAUACUACCAAAAUAUAGUGGUAGCUUCUUCCUAAGGAAAAUGUAGAACAAGUUUUCUAGUGAAUUUUAUCAAUAUGAAUGAAUGAAUGAACGAAUGAAUGAAUGAAUGAAUGAAUGAAUAUGGAAAUUCUACAAGUUAAAAUGAACUCUUAAUUGUGUUUGGUAAUUUUUGCAAACUGGUGAUAUAGCUGAUCAGUAUCAGCAGAAUUGGUUGUUUUUGGUUAAUAAAUUUUAAUGAUUCAGCGUGGAAUAAUGGAGACAGCAUGACAGAUGAGAGAAGCUUAUGUCUUGGUCCCUAGGAAUCGGAAAGGGCAUAGCUACACUAGCAUGCCUCCUUUAAUGUCUUUAACUCAAUCAGGUCUCUGAACAUCAUUAGUUAGUGCCACCCAACUUCAGAGCAAAUAUCUUUUCUCCUUUUCCUGUUGCUUUGAUAAAAUACUGUGGCAAAUCAGCCUAAGGAAGGUGGUUCACCAUUCCAGGUACUCUCUGUCAGUCAUGGAGGAAGAAGUCAAGGCAGUAGGAUCUUAAAAGAAACCUGUUGCCUAGCACCCCAAUCAGAAAGCUCAGAAGAAUGCAGAUAUAAUGCUACACAUUUUCUCCUGGAUCCCCACAAGGGAAGGAUUCCUCCACAUUUAUAUAAUCAAGACAAUCCUCCAGGUCUAGAGUUUGACCUAAUGUAGAUAACCUUGCACUAUACCCAAGAGUUUGUCUCCUAAGUGAUUCUUUAUUUCUCAAAUUUGAGAUAACUAUCAAAAAGGAUGUUCCCCACUUAGAUAACUCUCUGAAAAUAUCCACACAAAAGUAUAUUUUACUAAUGUCCCAUUGUUUCUAUAUACAAGGAAGUUGACUAGAUACAUUUCUUACUACAGAUAAUUGGCAAUUAUCUACAUAUACAAACUGCUGUCCUACCUGACUUCUGUUUCUUGUAGAUGAGGUUAACCCAUACUACAUUACCAAUAUAAGACAGGAGAAAUCCCAGACCUUUCUCUGAUAUAUUAUAGUUAAAUUAAUAAGCAUAUAAGCAGCAUUGACUCAGAAAUUGUUUAAUUUAUAAUGCAGCAUUAUUGGAACACUAAAUCUUUGUGGUUUUCCAAAUAGAACCAUCUUUACAUAUUAUUAUAUACAUGGUAAAAUAUUUUUGCAAUAGGAUUAAGUCACAAAAUCAGACAGAAACAAAUGAACAAAAAUGACAUGAACCAGUAAUUGAGUAUGAAAUUUUGUGUGGGUAAAGCACCCAGCCUUCUAUUUCUUCUUAGAAGCUUAAAUGUAUCUUCUUAUCAUAGUCAUAUAAAAGUGUGAUGUUUAUAGAAAUCAUUUUUUAAAAGCCACAUGGUUGAGAUCUACAGAAGACAAACAGGAGGAUCCUUUUCUAAUAUCCACUGCCCUAAUUAACAGAUAUACUAUUAAGUCAAGACAGACUGUAGAAAUGUUUGAAAAAGCCCCAUCUGUAGUAGGGAUUUCUGAGUAUAUCAUUGCUUAACCACACACAAAACUAAAUGCCUAAUGUGCUAAAAUAAAUGCCUAUAGGGUACAGACAAACUCAUUCUCGUUCAAUUUCUCAGCUAAUUUUUAUAUUAAUGUAAGUGUAAUGUCACAGCAAUAUAAAAGGCAAUAUAAGUUUUUGAUGACUUAAUCAAGCCAUAUAUGCUCUAUGGGCUUUUAAAUACAUUAACUUCCUUAUUUCUCAACCAACCAUUUAAUUUGUACAUUGUUUUUGGUGAUAAACUCAUUUACUUGCCAAAAGUCAAAAUUCUAUGCCAUUUUUUAAAUAAGAUUAAAACCUGGCCAUCUGGCUCAUUUGUCUAGUCAAGUAUAUUUACUCUGUCAUUAUUAGUGGUUGAAUUUGGCUUCAUAAAAUAACAAUCUGUACAAUUGCAUAGGAGUUGCUCUACUUCCUGAGAGAAUGUCACAUGAUUUAACGUCCUGUUAUUUGGUUGACAACCAUUCUUGGUAGCAUGGUCAAUGCUUUAAGUUCAAUGUACAGGAUGUAGUUAGGUUGAGUGAAUACAUUGUUGACAUCAGUAACUUCUUGGUUUGCUCUAUAUGACCCUCCUAUAAAUUAUUAUCAUUUUGGUUCCUAAUUCUGCACAAUAAACUAACCCAGAACUUUAGUUUAAUAUAGAUAUUUUACUAAGAUAACUAAUAAUUUAGGUUGUCUUAUGUAUUGAGGUAGGGAGAUAUUGAUGAAAAGACUCAAUGUUUGCAAAUGAUACUAGAGCCUGAUGAUGGUAGAAUGUUCUGGUGUCUUUAUUCAUCUAUCUGGUAUUUGAUCCUGGAUAUUAUCUACACUGUCAGUAGAGGCUGCUGAAAUUAACACUUAUAAAACAUUGUGUAUCCCCAGUCAUUUCAAGUUAAAGGAUGCCCUCACUUACAUAGAGAAUUUAAAUCCAGCCUAAACUAAAGAAGAUCCUGUUUCAAAAACAAAGAAAACAAAGCAAUCAAAUAACACAACGGAUUCUUCUUGUAACAUUAUCUUCCUCGGAGUAAUUUAACAUCACUGUAAAGAGAUUUCUAAUGAAAGAAUUAUUCCAGAAGAUAUCUUUUACAAUUGAAGUCUGUAAACAACAUUGGAGAAUAUACUGCAGAGCAUCUGAAGUGGACUGUCCGCAAACGAUAGAAGAAGCAAAUCAGAUUCUGUCAAGAUAAUAAUUUCCACACCCUGACCCACAGAAUUCAUUAUUAGAUUAUACAUAUCACUAAUUUUACGACUGUAAAUUGUGCAUCUAUAGGAUUAUCUAAUAGUUAAAUCUUAAUUGCCAUCUUCUAUGUUUGGAAAAGGCAGGCAUAAUAUUUUAGGACAAAGGAAAAUCCUUGCAAUUGAAAAUUAUAUAAUGACGUAAGAUGAGUAUUUUCAAAAGAAAAGUGGCUGUGUAAUGGAUUAGAGACUGCAUAAUAAUUUAAUUAUGUAAAGAGAUUAGCAAUCACAGCAAUAGUAAAAAUAUUAAAAAAUGAAUCUAGUCUUA